rnacentral:lncRNA from 10 species
GACUCUAUUUGUUUGGGGGAAGAGAACAAGAAACUCUGCCUGGCAACUCAGGGAAAUUUCCUAGGUGUUAUCCAAGACCACCAAAAUGGCAAGAGUUCUCCUUCAGUUAAUCACAUGCUCCGAUUCGCUGUCUUGGGCUCUCUGUCUAGGAAAUCCAAUCCAAGACAUGGGUUUAAAUUGCAUGUAAAAGAUCAAGAAAAUGAAAUUAUUAAAAGCCUGGAGCUGAAUUGACUUCCACAACAAUGCCAUAGAAUUGCUAAAAAGGGAAUACAGCCAGGUGGCUCACCUCCUCUUCCCUCUAUUAUCUGAGAUCUUUUAUUGGUUUAUACAGUGUGAGUGUGGCCAAUUGAAAUUAUCAAUUUACUGUUUGUGCCCCUAUAAAAUGUUGUAUUCCUCAAUUAUCUUGGAAGCUUCUGGACAAUGUUCAUUCCUAGGCUAAGUGCCCUCAUUUGGAGAUCUUUUUGUCUGGGAAUUUUUUGGAGCCUACAUCAACAGUAAGAUGAUCCUUAAGUCUGUGCUGAUUGUUUUCUUCCCUAUGUUGUGUUUUCUUCACUAAUGAAGCUCAAUUCCUAGAACAGAUAUUAGCAUAGAAUAGGUACUUGAUAAAUAUUUUUAAAUAAAUGAAUUCAUUAAACCACAUUGUAGAUUCAGUUCUAGCAAGUUUAAUUGUACGAUUUCCCAGAAUGCAUAAUAUUUAAAGUAGCAAGUAACAAAUGUAGACUAUAGCUAAAAGGCAAGGAAGCUGGCAGUUACUCAAAUUUUGAACACGUUUGAAAUCAAAUUUGAACCAGGUUGCUUUAAUUGCUCUGUUUGAGGGUUGGUGGACAUGUAUGAGCUUUGUAUAUUUCUCCCCUGUGUUGUCGAGGAUGUAUGUCGCCUCAGGACCAUGUGAUAAUUGCGUUAACUGCGCAAAUUGUUUAAGAAUGGCAGCAUUUGUGGAAUAAAAGUUAAAAUUUUGUAAGGGCUCUGAAAAGUUAAGUGAUAAUGUGAUGUUCAUGAAUAUAAGUGAUGGUAGCAGUGAGAUAACUGUUUUUAGUUAAUUUCUUUUUUCUAUUACUUUUUCAAAACUCAUGAUUGGAAUAUUUUAUAUAUUAUUAUACUUACAUUUGUUUUAUGAUUUAUAACUAAGAACUCAAAAGCAAAUGCAACAAAAAUGAAAAUAGACAAAUGGAACUCAGUUAAAUAAAAAGUUUCUGCACAGCAAAAGAUAUAAUUAACAGAGUAAACAGACAGCCAGAAAGAUAGCAUAAUCCUAGACUUUCAAUUAUUUUCACUAUUUUUCAGAUACAAUACUCUGACCAUGAAUGGCUUUUGUAAACAGUUGGGUUAAAUUUCCCAUUUAUGUUGGGAUGGCCUCCAUAUUGGAGAAUUUCUUUUUUUUAGAUUGAGUUUGUUUUUUUUUUAAUCAUUGAGAAACUGAAGGUAGCUAAAAGUGAGUAUUGCUAACCUAUUUAUGGCAUGGAGAAAUACGUACCAAAGCAAUAUAAAUAAAAUAAGACCCAACAUUUAAAGAAUAAUUGCUAUGAGUCAGAUACCAUUUUUUUCUUUUCUUUUUUCCUUUUUUUUUUUUUUUUUUUUUUUUUUUGAGACAGAGUCUCAUUCUAUUGCCCCAGCUGGAGUGCAAUGGCGUGCCAUUAAGUAUAGACAGUUGACCUUCAUUGCCUAAAAAGUGAUUCAUAAUAUAGGCUGUUUUUGCAAAAUUAAUUCUGGGAGAGGCAACAGUUGUCUAGAUCUUGGCAGUGGUUUGG